GCCGUCGUGGCUCAAUGGUAGAGCGUCGCUUUCCUAUUGCGCUCACGUGAUUAAUUGAGCCAUCAUUUGGCAGGCGAAGGUUGUGGGUUCGAGUCCCACCGUCGGUA